rnacentral:piRNA from 1 species
UCUUCCCAGAAUGUACGGAAA